AGGAGGAAGAAGAAGAAGAAGAUGUAGAGGUUGUUGGUAUGGGGUGAAUAAAGAGAUGAUAGAGGAGAGGGACUUUUCGUAAAUCCCUUUGGGAAAUGAAAAAAAGAGAAAUGAGAGGAUAGGGAAGAAGGAAGAUGAGCUUUGAAAGCAAGAAAAGAGAGCGGCGCCGCUAGUUGGGAAUUGCAAGUGAAGAAAACAAAAUACGUGUCUUUUUGUUUGAUGCAGAGAGAAAAAAAAGAUAGGGAGGAGACAAGUGGGGAAUGGAUGAUGAGAGAGGGAGAGGGACAUCCCCCAUUUCCCAAAUCUGGAGUGUGCUAUGAAUCAAUUCGGUCUCUUUCACAUCUCUCUUGUUGGCCUCAUUUUCACUCUUUUAAGUUUUAUCUUCUUCUCCUUCAUCAUUAUUAACUUAUCCAUGUUACUAUUUGGUUAACACUAUACAAUUCAUCUACCAACUGUCCGUCAACGCUAUUCGUUUUCAAUAUCAUUUUUUUCUCUUGGGAACUAUUUUUAAAAAUUUGAAUAUCUUCCCACGAAAAACAUAUCAUUUGUGGUAAGGUUUGUUGUAAUGCAUGCAGGACUGAAUGUAUGAUACAUAUAAAUUUGAAUAAAUUUGAUAGUAUAGUUAUAAACUUAACGAAAUCUAAUUUGCG
rnacentral:misc_RNA from 1 species